UUCCUUUCUCACAGGGUGUUUCUCUGUCACUCCCCGUCUGCACCAGGUGUGCCCCCCAAAAGUCUCUUGCCUGGAUCCUGCCCCGAUCAGCCGUGUGACUCUGGAUCAGCCGUUUUGCUUCAACAGGCUCCAGCUCCUUCAUCUGGGAAGGAAGGUGUUGGGCCAUGUGGGGCGAAGGCCUCUGGAGACGGAUUUGAUUCUCCAAAUCUUUUUUCGAUUCAUUAUUUAGACAGUUGGUCACUUCUGCUCAUCGAAGCCGCCGGGGGAGCGAGGAAGGCCAGCUGGUGGCGAAUGGCUGCCCCAAUGUUUUGUUGCCUGGCUGGCAUCCUUUUGAAGAGGAGACUAGGACAGAGACACACACAGAGGGACACCACCAUCUACAAGCCAGGGACAGAGAAACCCGCCUGCUGAUGCUUGAUCUCAGACUUGCAGCCCCCAGAAUGGAAAGGAAACACCUGCCACCCUCCACGGCCACCCAGGCUGAGCGCUUUGCUAUGACGUUCCUGGGGCCGAGCGCCAGCCUCACCAGAGCUCUGCCCUCCCGCCGCCCCGCUUCUCCUGGAGUGUCCUGACUCUGCCUCCCUAGGGGAUCUCACUUUGACUCCGUUGUUUUCAUCUGUCCUGUCGUUCUCCUUCUUUUCCUUUGGAUUUGUCUCAGAGCUGGAAUAAUUCUGUAGAGAAAACUCCCCUCACCACCUUUGGUUACCGGGAAGUCCUAUUUGUGUAGGAAAAGUGGAAUAAAAGUGCCCGACUCGCCCUCCGCCUUUGCCAUCUUCAACAUCACGAUGGGAAUGAUCCUUAGUGAUCCGUAGCAUUUUCUGACUGCGAUGAAGGGAUUUUAAGAGUGUUCUUGGCAAGUCACGGGCAUGAAUAGACUUCAUACACGUCCGACGACUGCAGUUAUCCCUGCGGAUGUUCAGUCCCCCUCUUUGGUGGAGGGAGGUGGACAAGAGGCCUCUUGGACUCAGCUGGCAUGACUCUGGCAGGCUUGGCUUUCUUCAACAGACAUUACAGUUCCUCGUGGACAUUUCUGGCCCAAACCCUUAGCUGGCCAUUCCUUCCAGGUCCCUGGUCAUUUUGGGGAAAUGGUAUUUAGACACAAUUCAGGUGCUGGGGGGGUGCUCACUGUCAUCAUGGUGAUUUUUGUUAUUUGGACUUUUCAAUAGUCAGAGGCAGGAAAUGCAAACAUAAAGUACAAAGACUACAUUCCUCAUGAAUCCAACUGCCACUUGUAAUUCAAAUUCCAUAUAUAUAUAAAGCUUUUCCUCUCUCUUAUUUUGGGGGUGGUGGGAUAGGGUACCGGGGAUUGAACUCAGGGGCUCUCAACCACUGAGCCACGUCCCCAGCCUUUUUUC
rnacentral:lncRNA from 1 species